UCUCCAAACCCUUCUCCAAACAUAUUCCACUCCAACCCAAGAGAAAACAAAGAUCAAGAGGCAAGAAUCAAGGUACCCAUGUGUUAGAGGUCUUGCUAGGGUUAGUAGACCACAAGAGAUUCUUGGGUAUUGAAGCUAGGGUUUUCACAUAAAUUGAUAGCUACUCCAAAGCUCAUUCCCAUGAUAUAAAAGAUUGUUCAAGAUUCGACGGUGAACGUUAAGUAGUGAGAAAAAAAAGAGGUAUGAUACCUAUCGCGCGCGCACCUCUGAAGUUGGGUACGGAUAACACUGAGCCUUGGUAGGGCCAGGUGGACAGGGAGACAGGCUUGAUCUAUAGAUUUCUUGUUCAGGGACUGCAUAGAGGAGCUCCAUUUCGUCCGGAGCUACAACUUUUGGUAUUAUUCUUUUGUGUACAUACAUAUGGGCAUGGCGGGGUCCUGUCCCGCCUAUAUGAUGAUACAUAAUCUUCUUAGAGGCUCGUAGACAGUUGUGUAUGGUUAGAUGUCUUGCAGUCUUGGCGGCUCAUAUUUUGUAUAUCAUUUUGAUAGCCUCGUCGGCUUGUGUAUAUGGAUAUGGGCAUUGUUGUCGAUGAUGAUAUAAAUGUGUUGAUGCCCAACGAGAUUAAUAUUAUGGAUGUAUAGAAAUUAUGAAUAAGCUAUGUGGCUCACUUAAAUGUGAAUGUACGAUAAGAGGUGCCCGGGUGAGUUAGCACCGGGUGCCCGUCAUGACCCUUCAGUCAGUUCGUGACAAGAAGGUUAGUAGGUAGUUGAGUUUUGUUGCACUUUGUGUGGGAGAGGUAGCUAGAGGGCUAGCUUCCUCCUCUCCUCUUCUUCUUUUUGUAAUUUUAUUUAGUUAUCGCGUAGU